UGGGGAGGUACCCAAGUGGCCAAAGGGGGCAGACUGUAAAUCUGCUGGCGGGUGCCUUCGGGGGUUCAAAUCCCUCCCUCCCCACCAU
rnacentral:tRNA from 1 species